rnacentral:rRNA from 1 species
AGUGAACGCUGGCGGUAGGCCCAACACAUGCAAGUCGAACGGCAGCACAGAGGAGCUUGCUCCUUGGGUGGCGAGUGGCGGACGGGUGAGGAAUACAUCGGAAUCUACUCUGUCGUGGGGGAUAACGUAGGGAAACUUACGCUAAUACCGCAUACGACCUACGGGUGAAAGCAGGGGAUCUUCGGACCUUGCGCGAUUGAAUGAGCCGAUGUCGGAUUAGCUAGUUGGCGGGGUAAAGGCCCACCAAGGCGACGAUCCGUAGCUGGUCUGAGAGGAUGAUCAGCCACACUGGAACUGAGACACGGUCCAGACUCCUACGGGAGGCAGCAGUGGGGAAUAUUGGACAAUGGGCGCAAGCCUGAUCCAGCCAUACCGCGUGGGUGAAGAAGGCCUUCGGGUUGUAAAGCCCUUUUGUUGGGAAAGAAAUCCAUCUGGUUAAUACCCGGGUGGGAUGACGGUACCAAAAGAAUAAGCACCGGCUAACUUCGUGCCAGCAGCCGCGGUAA